rnacentral:rRNA from 1 species
GACGAACGCUGGCGGCGUGCUUAACACAUGCAAGUCGAACGGAAAGGCCCUGCUUUUGUGGGGUGCUCGAGUGGCGAACGGGUGAGUAACACGUGAGUAACCUGCCCUUGACUUUGGGAUAACUUCAGGAAACUGGGGCUAAUACCGGAUAGGAGCUCCUGCUGCAUGGUGGGGGUUGGAAAGUUUCGGCGGUUGGGGAUGGACUCGCGGCUUAUCAGCUUGUUGGUGGGGUAGUGGCUUACCAAGGCCUUGACGGGUAGCCGGCCUGAGAGGGUGACCGGCCACAUUGGGACUGAGAUACGGCCCAGACUCCUACGGGAGGCAGCAGUGGGGAAUAGUGCACAAUGGGCGGAAGCCUGAUGCAGCAACGCCGCGUGCGGGAUGACGGCCUUCGGGUUGUAAACCGCUUUCGCCUGUGACGAAGCGUGAGUGACGGUAAUGGGUAAAGAAGCACCGGCUAACUACGUG